GACGAACGCUGGCGGCGUGCCUAAUACAUGCAAGUCGAGCGCGGGAAGCUUGCGGAAUCCUUCGGGAGGAAGUGAGUGGACCGAGCGGAGGACGGGUGAGUAACACUGUGCGUAACCUGCCCGAAAGACGGGGAUAACCCCGGGAAACCGGGGCUAAUACCGGAUAGGUGACCAUUCUGCAUGGAGGGGUCAUGAAAGGCGGCGGAAGCCGUCGCUUACGGAGGGGCCCGCGGCGCAUUAGCUAGUUGGUGAGGGAAGGGCUCACCAAGGCGACGAUGCGUAGCCGGCCUGAGAGGGUGAACGGCCACACUGGGACUGAGACACGGCCCAGACUCCUACGGGAGGCAGCAGUAGGGAAUCUUCCGCAAUGGACGGAAGUCUGACGGAGCAACGCCGCGUGAGUGAGGAAGGCCUUCGGGUCGUAAAGCUCUGUUGUUCGUGAAGAAGGGGUUGGCCAGGAAAUGGGCCGACAUUGACGGUAGCGAACCAGAAAGCCCCGGCUAACUACGUGCCAGCAGCCGCGGUAACACGUAGGGGGCAAGCGUUGUCCGGAAUGAUUGGGCGUAAAGGGCGCGCAGGCGGCCUCUUAAGUCUGAUAUGAAAGCCCACGGCUCAACCGUGGAGGGACAUUGGAAACUGGGGGGCUUGAGUGCAGGAGAGGGGAGUGGAAUUCCACGUGUAGCGGUGAAAUGCGUAGAGAUGUGGAGGAACACCAGUGGCGAAGGCGGCUCUCUGGCCUGUGACUGACGCUGAGGCGCGAAAGCGUGGGGAGCGAACAGGAUUAGAUACCCUGGUAGUCCACGCCG
rnacentral:rRNA from 1 species